ACAGCGGGUGCAAGCGUUAAUCGGCAUGUCUGGGCGUAAAGCGCGCGUAGGUGGUUCGUUAAGUUGGAUGUGACAGCCCCGGGCUCAACCUGGGAACUGCAUCCAAAACUGGCAAGCUAGAGUACGGUAGAGGGUGGUGGAAUUUCCUGUGUAGCGGUGAAAUGCGUAGAUAUAGGAAGGAACACCAGUGGCGAAGGCGACCACCUGGACUGAUACUGACACUGAGGUGCGAAAGCGUGGGGAGCAAACAG
rnacentral:rRNA from 1 species